rnacentral:rRNA from 1 species
AGAUUGAACGCUGGCGGCAGGCCUAACACAUGCAAGUCGAGCGGUAGAGAGGUGCUUGCACCUCUUGAGAGCGGCGGACGGGUGAGUAAUGCCUAGGAAUCUGCCUAGUGGUGGGGGAUAACGUUCGGAAACGGACGCUAAUACCGCAUACGUCCUACGGGAGAAAGCGGGGACCUUCGGGCCUCGCGCCAUUAGAUGAGCCUAGGUCGGAUUAGCUAGUUGGUGAGGUAAUGGCUCACCAAGGCGACGAUCCGUAACUGGUCUGAGAGGAUGAUCAGUCACACUGGAACUGAGGCACGGUCCAGACCUCCUACGGGAGGCAGCAGUGGGGGAAUAGUUGGACAAGUGGGACGAAAGCCUGAUCCAGCCAUGCCGCGUGU